GGACAUGGUUAUUAAGCCUGCUAGUCUCUGGGUCAGCUCAGAAAGCAAUCAGAGUAAGCUCACACCUCUCUAGAGCUGUCUUUUUUGGUCCUAAGUGACUGCCUGUCCAGGGAGGUGACUAUGUGUCAAGCCAGGACACAGAGGCUGUGAAACACUAGCUGCUCCAAAAUAUCCAUGUAGGCGGCAUACACAGAUCACCAAGACCAAAGGCAAGGUAGGGUGACUAAUUAAAAGUCACUCCUUUUUUUGACCUAAUACAUGAUUUUCUGUACCUUGAGUAACACAAUGGAAGUCAGUACGCAACAUGCCUUGGGUGAUGCAGCAGGAACCCAUUUACAAUGCGAUGAUGAAGAGGCACAGCAUAAGGCAUGAGGGUAAGGCCACUGGCCUUGGCUCCUGAGGAGAAAUAAGUACUUUCUACAGCUCUGGAUCUUGUAUACAAGGUGCAAUUGAUUGGUAGGUUAGUGCAUGAGUGGACCCAUAGAAGACAGGGCCGUUGGUAGUAGGAUGUGUGCAGAUCUCACUGCAGGGAAGAUGAUGUGCUCUAAUUUCACAUGCUCCAAUAUGUUAGCCCUGAAGGCACUUUUGUAUGGUGUAGCUUAGUUGGUAUCUGGAAUUGAACAAACUAACUCAUUCUUAAUGUAUGAUAUGGAGGAAACGGAACAUGACAAAUUCACAUUCUGACUCACUACUUUUAUGUAUCUAUCCAUGUACGUCCACACAGCUACAUGUUCCAGCAGAAGAGUGGACGGUGCAUUCCCAUCUUAUUCAGAGUGUAAUGACUAUGGCACUUCUGGGCUUACUUACAAUGGAGACAGGACUACUUUGGAGAAACCUGAAAUAGAUGUGCACAUGAAUCACUCUUGUGUGUGUGAAUUGCCUGUGGGUUCUCAGCAACUGUGGAAUUUGAUGGAUCGAUAGCUCUUAUGGUAAGAGCUAUGGUCCAUGGAAGAAAGAAAGUGGUGAACAGGCUAACACCUACAUGUACGAUUUCUUCAUAAUUCAGUCAAGUGUACAUACAAAGAAUCAGUGCUAAUGAAGCAUUUCCAAGACUUAUUAUAGACUUCUUCAGGUUUAAAUACUUGCUUCGAAAUCUGUGAAAAACGUGAGAAUUUUAGGCACUGGCUCUUCUAAAGGCCAACAGUAUCAAGCUUGCAAGUUACAGAGGACCGAAGCUAGUGCUGAGCAGAAGUGCUUCAUUCUGAAAGCUUACCUAACUUUUACCUCUCUCUGUUACAUUCACUUUCUGACAUGCAGAGAUACCUGUCCCCAAAGGUGGCUUAUAAGAAAAAUGAAGUAAUAAUGAAAAAGCUGUUCUUUUUAAAAAUUACCUCUUAAAAAUGUUGGCCCAGUAUUUUUCUGACAGACCUGAAAGGGUUUCAAGUGGGUUGGUCAAAUAUCAUGUGGCAGCAGUUCACCCUCUCAGGUUGGCAGCAGCUGUUGCAUUAACAAGUGAGGACAACCUGUGAUUAGUGGCUGCAGGACUGUACUUUACCCAGGGAAUUGAUAACCACCUUCAAUUGCUGACAGCAGUUCAUUUUCUCCAAGGUGAAGGAGUGAAUAUGAGCUCUUGUAUCUGAUUAUAAGUUCUUCUCUCCUGGCUGAUCUGCAAGAGCUGAGCUGCUGGAAAACCUAAAGAGAAGUGAGAUAAGCCAAGCAGAGGUGAAAUUUACAGGUUGCAUAACCCAGCUCUAGAUAUUUCUAGACUCUCUGAAUUCAUAUACUCCAUUUUCUGCAUCGGUGCUGAGACAGAUAUACGAAAAGAUUUUUUCCUUCCAAUUUUCUUUGGUCAUAGAAGAACUCAGAGCAUAUUUAUUGGUUAUGUAAAGAGUAGCAAAACAGAAUAAGUAAUGACACAGACAGGAAGCCUUGGUUAUUUCUUACAGCUUUACAUUUUUUAUUUACUGAGGACAUGUAGAAGUAAUCAGAUAAUUGAGCAUUUGAUCACAUCUUCUGUCCUGAAUAAAGCUUUGCUUCUACAAGCACAGAAUAGUUUAAGACUCUGCAUGUCUCACUUGUGGAUGAUAAUUAGAUCUUUAAGCAUUUAAUUGGACUUGCACAUAAUUACAGGUAGUAAAGAAAGCGUUUGAAAAAUGAAUUUCCAUUUCCAAAUAAGUUUGCCAGAUGGUUUUAUUUUCAUAUUUAAAAUAAGUGUACACUGUCUGGGCAAAUGUCUCGUCUUUUUCCUGAGAAGUAGAACUAGACGUGAAAGGGUAGUACCUUCUAAUUUCUUUAGUCUAUAGUCAUUUGCUCAGGCUAUCAAUGAUGGAUCCAGUUAACAAUAGAUGUGCAGGUGUAUUUUAUCUAUGUCCCACUCAAAUAUCCUUUUUACAUGGAAAGACCAAUGACUGGUUCAUUUAAUAUAGUAACAAGUAACUGUUCAAUAUAGUCAUUAUUAUCAUAGAAAAUUGUAACUUUUGAUCAACAGCAACAAAUCUAUAACUCCUCUUGAGCUGGCAAUCUGCAGGGAACAAUUUUCAUUCCAUUAUCAACUGCAGUAGUAGUAUUGUGUUAUUAAGUACUUUUGUUCAGUAUUUUGUUUUGGCUGAAUAUAAUAAUAAAACGUAUGUGUAAGAAGUCAGAGCCAUUUUUAUCCUCGAUUUUGUUGUGUGUGAUGUCCAUACUGCAGAUGAUAUACUUCAACAGAAAAGCCUCUAAGGAGUCAGGAUCACAAGACGUGUAUUGUUAUUGAUGUGCAUUGCAUAGGUUUAUAGAUAACACAGUUUCAAAUACAGCAUUGUAUAUUUUUGGCCAUGACAAUCUGUGUUAAGUUUUAGAGAAAGCUGUGUGAAGGAAAACCUCAUAGUGUUGUGCAGAUAUGUUUAAAGUUUAAAAAAUAUAUUUUUAAGAAAGUUUUAUUUUGGCAAACUCUGAAAUAACAGUUCCCCAAACACAGAUUUCAGAAAACAUGGUGUUUGGUAAACACCCUCAUUCCAUUAUAGAAACACUACUGUACAUGGUUGGUAUGCAAAAGGAAACUGAAACAGAAAAAGAAAGACAAAUUUUGAAAUUAUGUACAAUUUUGCUUAUGAAUACUGAGUGAUUAAUUAUUCUUAAACCACUUAUUCAAUCAGCUUUUUCUUUUAAAUUUUGUUUGAUUUUCAAGUUUAUAUAAACUGGUAGAACUGUAACAUCAUCACAUCUUACAUGCAGAAAAGAUCAUUUUCAUUUCCUCGGAAUUAUCUAGGUUUCCAUGUAUUUGGCAAAUUUCAUGUGUUACAGUGGCUCUUGUAAUAGAACAAACAGAUUAUCAAGCUUUCUUUGUGGUACAGAAGAGAUCACGUGCUUUCCGUGAUACGUGAACGUGAAAAAGGACAGUCUUAGUCCACCUUAUGUCAUUUUGGGUUUGAUUUUUCUUUUUUUUUGGACAACAUGUAUUUUUUGUAAAUGUUUAUAAUUUUUAAUAAAUUUUUCAGUACAUACUGAAAAUAUUUAUUUACAACUUUCUCUUUUUAGUUUAAAAUUGUGAUGUGACAUUGAAAAUCUGGGGAGUUCUCUUCAGAAAUUCUACAGAUACACUCAGCUAAUGAAACUUUAGUGAAACUAUGUUAGAGGUUAGCCUUGAUCCCUCCAGAUAACCAUUAAAAAAAAGGCAAAGGUUGCCCAACUGAAAUUUCACUCUACAUGUGGGAUGAUCUGACUAUGAUCUAUUCUGUUUCAGUCUAGAGCUGGAAGUCAUUUUAGCAAGCAAGUAUAAAAAAACUUAGUAAUCACUUCGACAAAGAGUCUUCUGGUUUAGUUCUCUGGCAUGGUAGCCAUUUUUUUUCCUUUCUUUUUGUUUUCUUUCUUAUCCUCUCUAUAUGAAGGAAUAGAUUAAUUCACAAAUUCUUAUUUUCUUUGUCACUGGGCUGUGCUGCUGCCUAUCACAAUUUGAGGGGUUGUUCAGCUUGUCAGUUCAGUCAAUUUCUCCAAGUUUCCUUCAGUCAUUUCCUUUGUCUUCUUUGAAGAAUCAUUCUAUUUCAGGUCAUUUAAAAUUGAGUGGUGCCAGGAAACUGAAAUAGGUUUAACAGUAAUCUUGUUCCUUUUUGUAUCAUUCUCCUGCACAAGACAGUAAGCUUCAGAUUUUCAACACAGAUGUUUAUUCAAUACUUAUCUUUUCAUUUUCUGGCUAAGAGUCUUGAAAGGAGGCAUCUGAGACAUUGUGAGACUUCUCAGUCAUGGGCUUGUAACUCGAUUUCUUUGCAGAAAGAACAGUCUAUAAGAUUUAGAGGCUUUCAAAAAAACAGAAUUCAUACAUUGGGUUGGUUUGACCAUCUCUGAACCCUGAAUGCAAAUCUGCAUGACUUUCACUACCAAUUCCACUGCAUUUGCUAUAUCUAAUACUUUGAGACAGUUAUUACAUUUCAAUCCUCCAAAUAUUGCCACAAGAUAGGCAUAUGUCCUAUAUUAUAUCCUCCAGGAUGUUUCCAAGUGUUUAACAAUCAGAUAAUUGUUUUUGCUCUUAUCAAAACGACAGUUUCACCUUGUUUCUCCAAUCUACUAAAAAGUCUGAAAUGUUCUAUAUUUAGUAGCUAUCACACAUUAGUGGCUUCAGUGGUCUUCUGUGAUUUUGGUGGUUUUGGCAACAAAAUUUUUCACAGGGAAAAGAUCUGAUUUUCACAAAUAUGAGAAGAUGGGAAAUAGGAGGAGGGAUAGAGGGAACAAAUCAGUGUUAAUCCUAAUCUGUGAUCUCAUGCAUAAGAAUUUGCCGUACCUUUUCAGUUGCUGCCAAUUCCAGUUUUCUGCCAAUUCCAGUUUUCUGCCAAACGUCAAUUUUCACACAGAGUGUGAAACACUUUCCAUUUCCAAACUUAUAACAGAUCUGCUGGACUUGAACUCACUCCAGUAAGUUGCAGUUAAUUUAAAUACAUCACAAGCAAAAUGAAAGGAAAGAUUUCACUUAAGCAGAGUAAAGGAAAUGAGUACUGCCCUUUUGGUCAGAUCAGACUUGUUAUAGAUGAGGCUGAUCCUCGUAAAAAUCAUUUAACAAAUGCUCUAGUUCAAUAGUAUGAAGAUAAAUGACAAAAUGCUUAUCGUUCAUUUUACUGGUAAACUAGAGACUAAACACAACACUUUGUACAAGAUAUUCUAAUAAGGAGUACAAAAAAAAAAAAUACUGAUCAAAUUAGGGUAAAAAGGAAAAUGUAAUUUGGCUGUGUUGUACUUUGCCUACAGUACUGAUUAUAUUUUGUAGACCCUUGUCUAAUUUUGGGUUGUCCAUAUUGGGUAAGAAAACCUACUGUGAACCUGAUCAGUAAAAUUCUAAUACAAGUAUACUUGUGCUUCUGAAAUAACAGUCCUCCAUGCAGAUCUAAGUUCUCAUUUGUCAGGGAAAAAUGGAAGAAACUUCUGCAAGGCAGGCAAGGAGACAGAUAUUUUGAGUCAAAUAGCUGUAUGUAGUCUUCUGCAUUAAAUUAUUAUUAAACAGAGUUUAAUAAUUCAGAGAAGAGAGAUCUGUAGCAUGAGCCUCCCAGAUAACUUCAACUAGAAGCACAUCAGUCUAAACAUCCAUUUUGUUGAUUCUACAUCAUAUUUGAUAUGAUUAAAUGGCAUUAGACAUCGUCAUGUCAUUUGGUAUGAUUCAGUUUCAGUAGAGAAACAUGAAAGUAUUAGGUAACCCGGGAUUGAUGGGUAAAUUUCUUCAUCUCCCUCUAGUACAUUUCAUCAAAGGGAAAUCAAGACAUUUCCCUGCCUUGAACAGAAAGAGAAUCAUUCUCCCUCCUGUCUAACCAAUGGCCUUGAGAUCUUGGAGCCUGGCAUGCCUGAGAAGGAUGCCUCUUUGCAAUGUUAUAUAGUCUGUAUUGUCUAAGCAAAAUUUCAGGUUCUCAAAUACAAUGUCAACUUGGCACCACAUUGUUUUCUCCUUUUCUGAAAGUCUUUAUCCUUUUGGAGUUCCUCUCUGCUCUUCAUGCUGUUUUCUAGAUUUGGACCCUGAACUCCCCAGGAACUGGCUGUGCUGCCUUGCAGCAGCUGUUCAUGCAAGGAGAUAAAGCCAUUGGAGUCCCAAAAUUAAUCAUAAAAACAAGAGAGAUCAACAUGCCUUCAACAGUUCAAACAUGUUUAUUCAAACAGAAGAAUGGAAAACUAGGUCAAAGAUCAAACCCAAGCAAAACAAGAUAGGAAAAAACAGCAUGUAGAUAAGAUACAUAGUAUAUAGCCAAACACAACUUGAUUAAGCAAAUAACACACAAACCAUAUCAAAAAGAUUUCUCAGGCAUAAACAUGUGGAUGCAUAAGUGAGGAAGACUAUCAUAUUCUUUCCUCAGAUCCAGUAAAUGCUGUCAACUGUUCCUUCAUUACUACUGAGAUGCAUUGGUUGUUGGCAUUCUGCUGGAAUGCUGGGUAUUUCUUAUUUUGAAAAGUAUUCAGCCUGUCUCCAUUUGAAUUUUCAUGAGGGCAACUUGAAGUAUAAUGUCUGCAGGUCAUGUCUAGAGUCUCAGCAAUGUUUUGUAAGUAGGACUAAGACAAGAACUAAAAGGCUCAAAGAAAUUCCUAGUUUGGCUCUUUUCACUAUUUUGCUCUUAGGGGAGGUGUUGUCGCACAAGUAGGAAUUGGCAAUGACUAUUUUCUAUAUUUUUAAUGCUGAUAUGCUGGGUAUUUCAGGCAAAACACCACUGCUUGUCUGAAUGGGUCUGUGUACCAGCUUUUGCUGUGCUAGAAGAAUUAGCACUGAGAUUGCAGAGGCAGGUUUGCAGGAGGCUGUGCAAAAGUCCUCCCACUAACAGUAACUGUGGAUAUGGAAACAGUAACAUGAGAAUGCAGUAAACAGCUGUGUUGUUGGAGUUAUUGGUUAUGGAGCUGCACAGUGCUUUUGCUUUCAGAGCACACUGUGCACAAUUUGAAAUUGUACCAGGCCUGAUGUGAUGUAUCAGUGUCAUAUAUACAAACUGACUUCUGAUGACUGGAGUGCUCUAAAGGACUGAUGAGACAUGAAGUAAGCAGGACAAGAUCAUGCUCCAUUGCACGGUGAAGCUACACAGCUUCCUUCUUUGCCAUUGUGUUGCAUCUUCUCAGGAAACUCUAAAAUGCGAUCAGCAGGGAAUUCCAUCUCUUACCUGUUAGAGAAGAUAAAAAUGAUAUGGAGAAGAGCAUCAUGGUAGAAAAAUGAGCUUCCUGAAUGAGGCUUUCAGGUUCUCCUGAUAACAUGGCAUUCACUAAACCAGAGGACAUUUGUCACUCACAU
ensembl:lncRNA